rnacentral:rRNA from 2 species
AGCCAUGCAUGUCUAAGUAUAAGCAAUUAUACAGCGAAACUGCGAAUGGCUCAUUAAAUCAGUUAUCGUUUAUUUGAUAGUACCUUACUACAUGGAUAACCGUGGUAAUUCUAGAGCUAAUACAUGCUGAAAACCCCGACUUCGGAAGGGGUGUAUUUAUUAGAUUAAAAACCAAUGCCCUUCGGGGCUCACUGGUGAUUCAUGAUAACUUCUCGAAUCGCACGGCCUUGCGCCGGCGAUGGUUCAUUCAAAUUUCUGCCCUAUCAACUUUCGACGGCUGGGUCUUGGCCAGCCGUGGUGACAACGGGUAACGGAGGGUUAGGGCUCGACCCCGGAGAAAACGCCUGAGAAACGGCGUUUACAUCCAAGGAAGGCAGCAGGCGCGCAAAUUACCCAAUGCCGACACGGCGAGGUAGUGACGAGAAAUACUGAUACAGGGCUCUUUUGGGUCUUGUAAUUGGAAUGAGUACAAUUUAAAUCUCUUAACGAGGAACAAUUGGAGGGCAAGUCUGGUGCCAGCAGCCGCGGUAAUUCCAGCUCCAAUAGCGUAUAUUAAAGUUGUUGCAGUUAAAAA